AAAAGAACCCAAGAGCUCAGCUUGGAAGCAUCUGCAUUUACAGCCAUGUUCAUGACUGAUCUGAAGGAAAAGGAGAGAUGGUUGUCAGAGGAUGCCCUUGAGAGGGUCCCCAAAAAUCUAUUCGGAGGAGCUGACUGCCAUGUGUCUAUGGUGAGGGUCUGCAAUGCACGGUGGCCUGGUGUGUGGCUGUGGCAUUGUCGAGGCUUUCCAAAUGCAUCCUGGAGAGGAGCAGUUCUUUCUAAUGGAGGUCCCUUUAGAGCAGGAAUUGGCUUUCUGGUUUGCUUGCUAACCUCCUAAAUGACUGUUAAGGGUUGAAUUAUGUCCCCCGCCAACAUUCAUGUGUUAAAGUUGUAACUUCCAGACCUCAGAUUAUGACUUUACUUGGAAAUUGGGUUACAUCUUAAUCUAGUAAGAUUAAAGUCAUGAGGGCAGGCAUGACCCAGUACGACUGUUUUCCCCCUCAAAAUGCACAAUUUGGACAAGACACGGAUGCACAGGGAGAGGGUCACGUGAAGAUGAAGGCAGAGACUGGGACAAUGUGUUUUAACCAAGGACUAGCAAAGACUGACAGAAAAUCACUGGAAGCUGGAGAAGUGGCAUGAAACAGAUUCUCCUUCACCGCCUUCAAGAGGAACCACGCCUUGACCUUGGACUUCCAGCCUCUGUAACUGUGAGACAAUACAUUUCCGCUGUUUAUAAACAACCUAGUCUAGGGUGUGUGGUACUUUGUUACGGCAGCAGCCCAAGCAAAUGAGUCUGGUGACAAGACCCAGUGCACUAAAUGUUUUGCCUGCAAAUUGGAGAGAGAGCCUCGAGAGUCUGAGCAGGAACCCUCCACAUGCAGCUAUUUGUCUAGUGCCUGGAUAAGAGGAUUGGUGGAGCAGCGUGGGUAGAGGAAUUCCUGCAGCUUGGAUUUCGCUGGCACCAUUACCACUCCCAGAGAGGAGCGGCUGGGGUUCACGGCUGGUUCCUGACAAACUUCCUAAUUAAUCUGCUAAAGAUCAGAGGAGGACUAAUAGGAGCUGAAGACUGAAGACUGUGUGCUGCGACCAUCCCUCCGCCCUUUCCCUUUGUGUGUGUGUGUGUGUGUGUGUGUGUGUGUGUGUGCGCGCGCGCACGCACGCUGCUGAGCUUGGCAGAGAGAGAUGGCCUUGCUGAGCGAUUCAGCACAAUACAUUCCUGCUGCUGCUGCUGCCACCUACCUUCCCUAUUUUGGGAGAAGGAAUUUUCUCCUCUUGCUUACAAGUCAAAGAGAGUCCCCAUAGUUUCUUCCCCCAGAUAUAAGGGUGGAAUAAAAUAUCUCCCAACCAACUUUCCUGUGAAAUAUGUGAUCUUGAUAUUUGGGUUCAUACAGCGGGGAGUCAUCUCAUGUA